AAACACACAGGACACAGCGCUAGGAACAUACUUGCUGGACCACAUGUGUCGCUGCUAAAGGUCAAGGACCCGUAUCUCGUUCGUAGUCUAACAGAGGUUGCAUCGUACCUCGAGUCGACGUGCUCUGCAGACGCGUGCCAUGGGCGCCACCAGGGAUGCCUCAUUUGGGAACCUGUCCAGACCACGCCUGUAUGCUUCCACAGCGGCCAGCGGCUGAUCCAUCUGCAGCUGCACCUGCGACGCACAAAGGUGUACAGCGCCCUCUCGACGCCCUGCUGCGUGGCCGUGCGAGACCGGGGCCGUCGUCUCAGUCCAGUCAGUGGACGGCCCUCGCGCGUCAUUGGUCGGCCACCGCCGGUCGGCGGGGGUGGCG